AUUGAACGCUAGCGGAAUGCCUUACACAUGCAAGUCGAACGGCAGCGCGGACUUCGGUCUGGCGGCGAGUGGCGAACGGGUGAGUAAUGUAUCGGAACGUGCCCAGUAGCGGGGGACAACCACUCGAAAGAGUGGCUAAUACCGCAUACGCCCUACGGGGGAAAGGGGGGGAUCGCAAGACCUCUCACUAUUGGAGCGGGCCGAUAUCGGAUUAGCUAGUUGGUGGGGUAAAGGCCUACCAAGGCGACGAUCCGUAGCUGGUUUGAGAGGACGACCAGCCACACUGGGACUGAGACACGGCCCAGGCUCCUACGGGAGGCAGCAGUGGGGAAUUUUGGACAAUGGGGGAAACCCUGGGUCCAGCCAUUCCGCGUGUGCGAUGAAGGCCUUCGGUU
rnacentral:rRNA from 1 species